rnacentral:rRNA from 1 species
UGCAAGUCGUACGCUUCUUUUUCCACCGGAGCUUGCUCCACCGGAAAAAGAAGAGUGGCGAACGGGUGAGUAACACGUGGGUAACCUGCCCAUCAGAAGGGGAUAACACUUGGAAACAGGUGCUAAUACCGUAUAACAAUCGAAACCGCAUGGUUUUGAUUUGAAAGGCGCUUUCGGGUGUCGCUGAUGGAUGGACCCGCGGUGCAUUAGCUAGUUGGUGAGGUAACGGCUCACCAAGGCCACGAUGCAUAGCCGACCUGAGAGGGUGAUCGGCCACAUUGGGACUGAGACACGGCCCAAACUCCUACGGGAGGCAGCAGUAGGGAAUCUUCGGCAAUGGACGAAAGUCUGACCGAGCAACGCCGCGUGAGUGAAGAAGGUUUUCGGAUCGUAAAACUCUGUUGUUAGAGAAGAACAAGGAUGAGAGUAACUGUUCAUCCCUUGACGGUAUCUAACCAGAAAGCCACGGCUAACUACGUGCCAGCAGCCGCGGUAAUACGUAGGUGGCAAGCGUUGUCCGGAUUUAUUGGGCGUAAAGCGAGCGCAGGCGGUUUCUUAAGUCUGAUGUGAAAGCCCCCGGCUCAACCGGGGAGGGUCAUUGGAAACUGGGAGACUUGAGUGCAGAAGAGGAGAGUGGAAUUCCAUGUGUAGCGGUGAAAUGCGUAGAUAUAUGGAGGAACACCAGUGGCGAAGGCGGCUCUCUGGUCUGUAACUGACGCUGAGGCUCGAAAGCGUGGGGAGCAAACAGGAUUAGA